GUAGAACAUGCACUAGAAGAGCUGGCUCAUCGUCAAAUAAGGGUGGCGUGCAUGACAAUGGAUGGUCAUGCAACAAAUAUCUGUGUGUGCACCCAACUUGGGUACGAUUUAAAAGCAGACCCCUGUAACAACGAGUUUUUGUUGUGAUGGAUGCUUGCCACAUGCUGAAGCUGACACGCAAUAUGUUGCAGGCAUGCAGCCCAAUUAGAAGCAUAACUGGCCGUAUCAAUUGGAAGUACAUAGUUCAGCUGAACAAUGUCCAAAAGAAAAGUGGACUACCUGCUGCCAACCAAGUCACGGAUAAGCAUGUGAACUUUGCUAAUCAGAAGAUGAAGGUCUCCCUGGCUGCUCAGACUUUGAGUAACUCUGUGGCAGUGGCGCUCAGACUUUGAGUAACUCUGGCAGGGCCGCUCCCGCCUUGCAGGACGUGGGCUAUGCAGAGUUCAAAGAUUGUGAGGCUACUUCUGAAUUAAUUAAGAUAUCAGACAAGCUGUUUGACAUCUUGAACAGUCGUAAUCCCAGAGCCAAAGGGUUCAAAGCCCCCCUUGGUUCCAGGAAUUGGACAAGCACCAAGGAGUUCUUGAUAAAAAGCCAGGGGGUACUUGCUCACUUUGAAGAUGGAGGAUGGCAAACCCCUUUACCGAACAAAGAGGUAUUUUAAAAUAGUGACAAUUAGUGAUGCACUUACACCAUUUGUAGUCGCCAAUACCCAGUACAAAUUCUUAAUUCUAAUUAAAUUAUUGUGUGCUCAAUUAGAAAAUAAGGGUUUAUUUUAUUAUUUGUUAGAUGUAUACAAGUAGUCAAUUUACAAAUCAUUAAAUUAUCUAAGGUAGAACUCUACUGGUUUCAGUGCAUCCCUCAACUCCAUGAUAUAAGUUCAACAGAUGCUCUGUUCUCUUGUUUAUCUACAGUCUUCUGUGUCUUCUGCAUCAAGUUCAGAUGCUCUGUCCUCCUGUCUGCAUCAAGUUCAUACGAUGCUCUGUCCUGUAAGAUGUUCUGUCCUGUCUGCAUCGAGUUCAUGAGAUGCUCUUUUCUGUUCAUGUAUUGCAUGGUCUGCAUGUUACGUUGUGAAUUGAUUCAAGAAGGUUUUGGUGUCCUAAAAGUACUUUUAAGGAUCCUAAACCGUACACAGAUUAUACUUUUAAGGUCAGGGAUGCAAACUAGUCAGCUUUAACCCCCCCCCCCCCCCCCAAAUGUGGCAAUGAAGUGAAUUGUUUGAAAUGUGGAUUUGUGUCUGCCCUGAGAAGUGCUGCUCUGGGAGCAUUCACUAUUUUCACCCUAUACUGUUAGUUUGUUUCCCUGCUUUCUCGUGUCCUGUUUUGGCAGAAUCAUCAUUGUAAUACAAUUUGCUUUUGAGGUUCCUCUCUGUCCUGGGCUUCGUCAUAAACAUUGACACGUUGAUGUCUAUGGUUCCUGUGCUGCUUGAAGGACAGCGAUAUGUCCUGACCUACAGAUUCAGCCAGGACCAUUUGGAACUUCUCUUUAACUCCAUCAGAGCAUCCGAUAGGUUUCAAAAAUUAUUUUUUACCAGCCGCAACACUAUGUGACAAAGUUUCAGCAAAUGCUUGAAUUGUUUUCAGUUUUUCGGUCCAUAUGUUUUUGUUUUUUUUCCAUUUUUGGUAAAACACGCAUAUUGAAUAUCUGUGUAAUAUACUUGUAUAUCUUGUGUUUUUUUAAGGUGGCUGGAAUAACAACCCUAAUGCCGGCCAGUUCAAAUACAUCUUCAGAAAGCUGAUGGCCCAGUGUGGAGUUGUUCAACCAUGCAGAGGCAAUGUGACUGCACAGGAUGAGACAGAGUCCCUAUCAGCGGUCAUCGACGCCUCUAUAAGCCUGUCAGCUGGAGAUAUGUCCUCUCUAGCAGGAGGAGAAGAUCUUCCAUCCCUGUUUGCUGACAUUCCUGCCCUAGUACACGACCACAGCUACCUUCCCGUCCGCUACAAUGGUCUUGUGGACAACGCUCUUGUGUACAUUUCAGGUAUAGGCUGACUGAAAGUCGACCAGAGCUCCCACCUGCUGUGUCUAAGAAACAAUGGAGGCCGGAGGAUGUGUUUGUGCUCCGGGAGCACAUCGGCGACACGCAGCAUGGCAUAGACAGCCACCACCAUACGCUGCUAACACUAGUUGUGUCCUUGUUUUUUAAGCUAAGGCUACACCACAUCGCUCAAAUGACUACACUAAGCUUACAGAGCAACAACAUGCGACAGAAGCUCAAUAAAACAGUCCUUUUCCAAGGGCAUUAGCCCAAUGUUACGACCCUGGUGGGUCUCUCUGUGGGCCCGCCCAUUUUUGCUGCCUCUCUCCAGUGUGUUACUGUAUAUUGUAUAUAGUUCUCUGCAAACCUAUGGUGGCAUCAUGCCUUCAGUGUGGCUUGAACAGCCACAAAGGUUGCACAUAUUAUAUUCAUAUUUUAUCAUAUUUGUCUAAUUGCAUACUUGACUAGAUGGAUUUGAGUGAAGUUACCAACACAAUAGAUUGCUGAGUUUUAGUAGCCCAUAUAUUGAUUUAACAUAAAUAACAUGAAUACCUUGUGCAUGUGUGUAUUUAUUGCACCUAUCUGUUCUGUUUAAUGUUCACUCCAUAUGAAAACACAUGGUUAUAAUCACAUAAAUGAGUAGUCCAUGAAAGCACAUGUAUGUGCUGGUGUGUGGCACGCAAAUCCAAGUUUGUAUGUUUGUCAGUAUGUGAAAGCGUGCAAAUCGAAGACUUGAGCCUGGCCUUGCCAGACUUAAGCUGAGUUUUCAGCAUCAAAGACCACGCAAAGCUUGUUGAUGGGCCUUUU